rnacentral:misc_RNA from 1 species
GAUGAAGAACGUAGCGAAAUGCGAUAAGUAGUGUGAAUUGCAGAAUUCAGUGAAUCAUCGAAUCUUUGAACGCACAUUGCACCCCUUGGUAUCCCGAGGGGCAUGCCUGUUCGAGCGUCAUUUCACCACUCAAGCCUGGCUUGGUGUUGGGCGACGUCCCCUUUGGGGACGCGCCUCGAAACGCUCGGCGGCGUGGCACCGGCUUUAAGCGUAGCAGAAUCUUUCGCUUUGGAAGUCGGGGCCCCGUCUGCCGGAAGACCUACUCGCAAGGUUGACCUCGGAUCAGGCAGGGAUACCCGCUGAACUUAAGCAUAUCAAUAAGCGGAGGA